rnacentral:rRNA from 1 species
GAUGAACGCUGGCGGCGUGCCUAAUACAUGCAAGUCGAGCGAAGCAGGGACGGGUGAGUAAGACGUGGAUAACCUCCUUUAAGUCUGGGAUAAAUGCGGGAAACAGGAGCUAAACGUGAUACUUGGAGAUGGAUCCGCGCUGCAUUCGCUAGUUGGUAAGGUAACGGCUUACCAAGGCAACGAUGCAUAGCCGACCUGAGAGGUUGAUCGGCCACACUGGGACGGAGACACGGUCCAGACUCCUACGUGAGGCAGCAGUAGGGAAUCUUCCGCAAUGGACGAAAGCCUGACCGAGCAACGCCGCGUGAGUGAAGAAGGUCUUCGGAUCGUAAAACUCUGUUGUUAGGGAAGCGGUAUCUAACCAGAAAGCCACGGCUAACUACGUGCCAGCAGCCGCGGUAAUAC